rnacentral:rRNA from 1 species
GAUUUCUGGUCCGAUACAUUAUGCCGGCCACGGUUUCGUGUGUGUGUGUAUGAUGUUCGUACCAUCCUUCCAAUUGCUGUUUACUUUUCUUCAUUGAUUGGUAAAUGGUAUUGGAUCUUUUACUUUGAAAAAAUUAGAGUGUUUCAAGCAGGCGUUUUGCUAUGAAUACAUUAGCAUGGAAUAAUAAUUUAGGACUUUUGUUCUAUUUUGUUGGUUUCUAGGAUAAAAGUAAUGAUUGAUAGGGAUAGUUGGGGGUGCUAGUAUUGAGUGUUAAGAGGUGAAAUUCUUGGAUCCGCUCAAGACUAACUUAUGCGAAAGCAUU